GACAGAGGGUGCAAACGUUGCUCGGAAUCACUGGGCGUAAAGGGCGUGUAGGCGGGAAGGAAAGUCAGAUGUGAAAUCCCCAGGCUCAACCUGGGAACUGCAUUUGAAACUCCCUUUCUUGAGUACCGGAGAGGAAAGUGGAAUUCCUGGUGUAGAGGUGAAAUUCGUAGAUAUCAGGAGGAACACCAGAGGCGAAAGCGGCGACCUGGACAGGUACUGACACUCAACUACGAAAGCGUGGGGAGCAAACAGG
rnacentral:rRNA from 1 species